rnacentral:misc_RNA from 2 species
AGCAGCCGCGGUAAUUCCAGCUCCAAUAGCGUAUAUUAAAGUUGCUGCAGUUAAAAAGCUCGUAGUUGAAUUUCGGGAUCAAUAUGUUGGUCGUGCCUCGGUACGUACUAGCUUAUUGGUUUCUUCCUUCUGACGAACCAUAAUGUCAUUUAUUUGGUGUUAUGGGGAAUCAGGACUGUUACUUUGAAAAAAUUAGAGUGUUUAAAGCAGGCUCACGCUUGAAUACAUUAGCAUGGAAUAAUGAAAUAGGACGUUUGAUUCUAUUUUGUUGGUUUCUAGGAUCGACGUAAUGAUUAAUAGGGAUAGUUGGGGGCAUUAGUAUUCAAUUGUCAGAGGUGAAAUUCUUGGAUUUAUUGAAGACUAACUACUGCGAAAGCAUUUGCCAAGGAUGUUUUCAUUAAUCAAGAACGAAAGUUAGGGGAUCGAAGACGAUCAGAUACCGUCGUAGUCUUAACCAUAAACUAUGCCGACUAGGGAUCGGAUGAUGUUAAUUUUUAAUGACUCAUUCGGCGCCUUAACC